UACACAUGGUAGAAAGGCAUGACAGUGCC
rnacentral:piRNA from 1 species